rnacentral:rRNA from 1 species
GACGAACGCUGGCGGCGUGCUUAACACAUGCAAGUCGAGCGGUAAGGCCCUUUGGGGUACACGAGCGGCGAACGGGUGAGUAACACGUGAGUAAUCUGCCUUUGGCUUGGGAAUAACUUCGGGAAAUCGGGGCUAAUGCCUGAUGUUUACUGUCUGCUGCAUGGUGGGUGGUGGAAAGAUUUUUUGGCCAGGGAUGAGCUCGCGGUCUAUCAGCUUGUUGGUGGGGUAAUGGCUUACCAAGGCUUUGACGGGUAGCCGGCCUGAGAGGGUGUUCGGCCACACUGGGGACUGAGACACGGCCCAGACUCCUACGGGAGGCAGCAGUGGGGAAUAUUGCGCAAGUGGGCGUAAGCCUGACGCAGCGACGCCGCGUGGGGA